rnacentral:rRNA from 1 species
UACGUAGGGACCGAGCGUUGUCCGGAUUCAUUGGGCGUAAAGAGCGUGUAGGCGGCCAAACAGGUCCGUUGUGAAAACUGGAGGCUUAACCUCCAGACGUCGACGGAAACCGCGUGGCUAGAGUCCGGAAGAGGAGAGUGGAAUUCCUGGUGUAGCGGUGAAAUGCGCAGAUAUCAGGAAGAACACCCGUGGCGAAGGCGGCUCUCUGGGACGGUACUGACGCUGAGACGCGAAAGCGUGGGGGAGCGAACAGG